GUGGCGAGCGGCGAACGGGGGAGUAAUACAUCGGAACAUGCCCAGUCGUGGGGGAUAACACUUCGAAAGAAGUGCUAAUACCGCAUACGUCCUGAGGGAGAAAGCGGGGGAUCGCAAGACCUCGCGCGAUUGGAGUGGCCGAUGUCAGAUUAGCUAGUUGGUGGGGUAAGAGGCCUACCAAGGCAACGAUCUGUAGCUGGUCUGAGAGGAUGAUCAGCCACACUGGGACUGAGACACGGCCCAGACUCCUACGGGAGGCAGCAGUGGGGAAUUUUGGACAAUGGGGGCAACCCUGAUCCAGCCAUUCCGCGUGAGUGAAGAAGGCCUUCGGGUUGUAAAGCUCUUUCGGCAGGAACGAAACGGUGAGCUCUAACAUAGCUUGCUAAUGACGGUACCUGAAGAAGAAGCACCGGCUAACUACGUGCCAGCAGCCGCGGUAAUACGUAGGGUGCGAGCGUUAAUCGGAAUUACUGGGCGUAAAGCGUGCGCAGGCGGUUGUGUAAGACAGGUGUGAAAUCCCCGGGCUUAACCUGGGAA
rnacentral:rRNA from 1 species